UCCUGACCCAACAAUACAGUAAUCUCAAGAUUAAAGAAGCUGUCACUUUUGGACAACUGAACAAAGUCACUGCCUCUCCCUCCUCCCUGGGAGGCACUGAGGCCACACUGCACUGGCAACCUUGAGAAAGGAAGUUGGUGUGCAACUGUUCUAGCCAUUAUCAGUGUCCAUGAUGAACAAAUUUCUUUUGGUGAGCAGAAGGUGGCUGAGGAUUGCAUCCACUCUGCGUGAGCAGUCACGAUGCUGAGGCCUGGGACAGAUCACUACACAGCCUUUCAAAAUAUCCGUGGCUCCCUAACUCUGGCUUUCCCCUAACACCAGCGAAGACCACCCUGAAGACGCGGAAACGUCUCUUCCACUGCCUGCUCCUUGCUGAAGCCAGCAGCUCAGCUCCGUCCUACCAGAAGCAUCUGGAGCUUUUAUGUAAAUUAAAGUCACUCUAUUUGCACCAAGUGGAUGUCUUCUUACCACAGUUCAUUAGUGGUCUAGACUACACCUCUGUCCCCAGUCACAGCCUCAGUAGGGAAGACUGUCACAAUGAACACAUCUCAGUACUGUGGGAGAGGUGUCAUGGGACCGCAAAUAAAACUAGAAUUAUUAGCCUGUA